rnacentral:rRNA from 1 species
AACGAACGCUGGCGGCGUGCCUAACACAUGCAAGUCGAGCGCGAAAGGAGGCCUUCGGGUCUUCGAGUAGAGCGGCAGACGGGUGAGUAACACGUGGGUAACCUGCCUCUGGGUGGGGGAUAACCACCGGAAACGGUGGCUAAUACCGCAUAAGACCACGUUUCUGCGGAGACGGGGUUAAAGGUCCUUCGGGGGCCGCCGAGAGAGGGGCCCGCGGCCGAUUAGCUAGUUGGCGGGGUAAAGGCCCACCAAGGCGACGAUCGGUAGCUGGUCUGAGAGGAUGAUCAGCCACACUGGUACUGAGACACGGACCAGACUCCUACGGGAGGCAGCAGUGGGGAAUAUUGCGCAAUGGGCGAAAGCCUGACGCAGCAACGCCGCGUGGGUGAUGAAGGCCUUCGGGUCGUAAAGCCCUGUCAGGUGGGAAGAACUUUCCCCGCAAGGGGAGCUGACGGUACCACCAAAGGAAGCACCGGCUAACUCCGUGCCAGCAGCCGCGGUAA